UUUUCACUUUUACUUAAUGUCGGUUGAUCAGUUCAAGGCGAAGGGCAACGAUGCCUUCAAGGCGAAGAACUUUAAGGAGGCCAUUGAGUUUUACACCAAGGCA
rnacentral:ribozyme from 1 species